rnacentral:SRP_RNA from 1 species
GCCGGGCGUGGUGGCUCACGCCUGUAAUCCCAGCACUUUGGGAGGCUGAGGUGGGUGGAUCACCUGAGGUCAGGAGUUCAAGACCAGCCUGACCAACAUGGAGAAACCCCGUCUCUA